rnacentral:lncRNA from 1 species
UGAUUGUUGAAGUAGAAGACUUGUUUUAUGCUAUUAUGCCCUCUAGUUUGUAGUAGCAGUGUUUUGAUGCAUCUUCUAGUUGGAGUUGUGAAGCUUGUAUUGUUCAACCGAAUGGCAGAGUGCAUAGUUAUUUCAAGUGAACAAGAGAAUGCUUAGUGCUUAGUGUGGUAUUGGAAUUCCUGGUGUGUUAAGGCAGUAUGACUAGUUGGUACUACAUAAUUUUGGGUGCUGUAAUAUCCAAGGUUGAUUAUAGGUGCACUCUGGUAGUUACCCGAUGAAUCCUAAGGACCCCCUGAUUGUCACUAGCUUCUUUUAAAAUUUUGUUUGAAUAUACUUUAGUGCCAUUUUUUUUUGCUUGGGAUGGGUUAAUUGGUUGUAUUAACAAAAUAUGAGCACUACUGUUUUGUUUUUUUGAACAAUUCCAAAUAACAAGGUAAUGUGAAGCACAUUUUUAGUACAAAUUUCAGUUCGGUUUUGUUGGGGCCCUUCCUGAUGAAGGAGGGCACCCUCAAAAAAUUAGCGUAUGCUGCUAUUUGUGGCGCGCACACGGUAUUCUUUAGUAAAAGGCGAAAGAAUAGUUCGCUUUGUGCUCACCACGCAGCUCCGUGCUCUGUGACAGGGCGGCUGCAUUCCUUCUUGUAUAUCUCAGCUGCAACUCCAUCCUUAGGAGCUAAGCGGUAUGGUACUAAUCAUAAAAUCCGUCACGAGCUGCGUGCUUACAUCACGAGCUGCUGUCCGGCCUUGGCCCAACAGUCCACUCCGAAUGCAUCUGUGGAAGUUCGGGCCACAGGAAGGCCUCGAGACCACCACGCUAUCAAGCCCACAAGGUUUGCUUUUUUUUUUUUUUUUUUGAGAAUGACUACCCAAACAACACCAAUUACAAGGUACAUUCAGAUAGCAUGAGCGGCCGUAGAUCUUCCAGUACAUCCGCGAUAAUCAGCGAGUCUCCUUCUCGCCUACCCCUGGCCACGAGACCAUGCGCCAGUUUGUUCUUGCUUCGUUUAACAGCUAUGACUCUGACGCAGUUGAAAAGCCCAGCCGUGCUCUUUAUAUCACUGACAGUUGCUCCUUUGCAAUCAAGGCACAGUCCGUUUCAAUGAUUAAACUGUCCCGAUACAUAGCUGAUAGUGCGGUGACUCCCAUCAGUAUGGCAUGUCCCUCAGCUUCUUCCACUAUUUUGCACACAUUCAUCGCUCUGCCCGCCGAGAAAAGAACCCGACCCUGAUGGUCGCGGGCAACAGCGCCCGCCCAGCACUGCCCAGUCUCCGGCGGGAAUGCCGCAUCUGUAUUUUAAUUUAACCACCCCGUUUGCUGGCUUGUCCCACAAAGGAGAGCUUUCUACACUUGUUAUAUCUCGAGACUCAAUUGCUUCAGAGGCAGAUAAGGACCAAUUGUUUUUUCCUUGUCCCCUCUAUCAUCGUCAGGUUUCUUAUCUCCUCCUCAUACUCGAGAAGGAAACAAACCGAUCUUGAAAUUGAUUCUUUGCCCUCAUGAUGCACACAAUCAUCCCGUAGGAACCAGGAACGCCAUAGCAAAAGAAGGAUUUUAGCUCUCAUCUCCGAUUCAUGUUUGUCCAGCAGGACUUGGAGCCAGUCACUUCCGGUAUACCAAAAUUCAUGUUCAUCUGGGAUGCUCCACUCCUUUCUCAUAGCAAAAUGCGGCGCUCUGCUCUUCGUGCAAGCUAAUACCGCAUGGUAUUCAUACUCAUCCCCAUGUCCACAUAUGUCACAAAUGCUGUCAUGAACAAUUGUGCGUUUACAUUUGUUCUUCUUCGUUGGUAGCGUUCCCGUGGCGACUCUCCAUCCGAAAAUCUUAAUUCUUUCCGGAAUAUUCAUUUUCCAGAUGACGUCCCAAAUACUCCUAUUCCCUGCUCCAGAGGCGGAGGACAAGGCACCCGCGGUAGUGUUGCGUUCCAAGUUAGCCGCCAGUUUAUACGCACUCCGGACAGUGAAAAUGCCACUCUUCUCAUAAUGCCAGGCAACACAAUCGUCCACUUCGGCUGAGGGGAUAUUUAUCUUGAGGAUUUCCUCCGCAUCAAAAGGAUGGAAAAUAUCACCAAUCAGUUCUGAAUUCCAGUUUUUUGUCUGCUGAUCAAUUAGUUGGUUAACCCAACGGAGUUUAGAACACCUUCUAAAGCUCGUUGAUCUCAAACCUUCAUUCCGAGGAAUCCACUGGUCCCGUUGAAUCUGUAUGCUUUUACCAUUGCCUACUCUCCAGACUAGGCCCUUUUUCAGCAGCUCAAGACCAUGCUCUAUGCCCCUCCAUACCGGGGAAACGUCGGAUGAGAACACGGUAUCAAGCAGGUCACCCUUAGGGAAAUAUUUAGACUUGAGAACUCUUGCGCACAAGCUUUCUGGGUUUUGGAUGAGCCUCCAUGCUUGCCUCGCUAGCAAUGCCAAAUUGAAAAGGUGCAUAUCUCUGAAACCAAUUCCUCCUGCUCUCUUUGGUUGAGUCAUGCGUUCCCAAGACAUCCAAUGAACCUUCCUAUGAUCUUUCUCAUCUCCCCACCAAAAAUCUCUAAUCAUUCUUUCAUAUUUCUCACAAAAACCUUUUGAAAGAAGGAAAACCCCCAUGAUGAAGGUGGGAAGUGCUUGAACAACUGACUUGACAUGUACCUCUUUGGCGGCAUACGACAUGAACCUCUCGUUCCAGUUGUUGCAUCUUUUUCCAAGCUUAUCCAUGAUAUGUUGAAAGUUUUCGUCCUUCAUUCUCCCUUCCGGCGCCGGGAGCCCCAAGUAUUUGCUCUCAAAUGUGGAAGUUUCUACUUCCAGCACUGACUUGAUGCCUUCUCUCACGUUUUCUGGACAUACCUCACUAAAUAACAGCAAACACUUACUCGAGCUGAGGAGUUGUCCAGUACAUCUCUGAAAAAUACUAAGCACUUUCUUUACUGAUUUUGCUUGGACUACCGUGGCCUUGAAGAAUAGCAAGCUGUCGUCAGCGAAGAGCAGAUUUGAAAUACCUGGGCUAUUUCUUGCUACUUUGAUUGGCGUGAUAUGCCCACCCACCACCUCCCUGUUUAGCAGAUUAACCAAACCAUCUGCAACAAAUAAAAAGAGGUACGGGCUUAGUGGAUCCCCUUGUCGAAGGCCCCUGGUCGGCGUAAAGAAAUCUGACUGUUCCCCGUUGCAUUGGACUGAAAAUCUAACAGAUGUGACGCACUCCAUGAUCCACUUAAUCCACUGCGGUCAGAAACCAAUUUUCCUUAGUAAUUGCUCGAGAUAUCUCCAGUCCACCCGGUCAUAGGCCUUAGCAAGGUCCAAUUUGUAUGCACAGUGGGUAUCAUGCAGGUUUCUACUAUGUUGUAUCUUGUGAAAGCAUUCAAACGCAAUGAUUGCAUCAUCAGUGAUCAUUCUUCCCGGGAUGAAAGCACUCUGGGUCUCAGAUAUGAUAUCAUUCAGUACUGGUCUCAACCGAUUCACAAGGCAUUUGGAGAUGACCUUGUAAGUAACGUUGCAUAAGCUGAUGGGACGAAAGUCUUUCAGAGUCUGUGGGUUAUUUCCUUUAGGUAUUAGCACAAUGACAGUAUCGUUGAUACCUUCUGGUAGAGUACCUUCCUCAAAGAAAUGCAACACUGCAGUCACGACAUCCUCUUUCAACACAGCCCAAUUUCUUUGGUAGAACCGGGCCGGGAAACCGUCUGGGCCCGGUGCUUUUAGUGGGCCGAUCUGGAAGAGUGCAUCACUCACCUCCUCGAUGGUAAACUUCCUUGUCAACUGAGCAUUCAGAUCAUCCCCAACAGAUUUUUUGUGUCAAUUCUAUGAGUUUGUUAGGCACCACCCCCGAGUCACCAGUAUACAGGUUCUUGAAAAAUUGAGCAGCAAGUUCCUUGAUCCCUUUACUAUCCUCUACCCAAUUUCCAAGGUCAUCUAGCAGUUUUGUAAUUGAGUUCUUUUUCUUUCUCCAUGUGUCCUUUCUCUGAAAAUAUUUCAUAUUGCGAUCUCCUUCUUUUAACUCUGUGACCCUCGAUCUUUGUCGCCACAUCAUCUCCUCCCUCAGCAGCAGCUCGUCCAAUUCCUUCGACAGUUUUUUGAUACUGCUCUGUUUAUGCAUGGAAGGGGGCGCCAUCCAUAGCUCACUCAACUUCUUUCUGACUGCUGUAGUUUCCUUCAGAAUGGAACCAAAAUCCUUAGCUGCCCAUUGCCUUAAGUCUGACUGCAUAGAACCUAGCUUCGCCCCCAACUCCUCCAGGGAAGUUGCCGUUCUCUCUUUCUUCCAAGACCUUGCAAUGUGGUUACUCAAUGAUUCUGCUCUCUCCCACAUAUACUCAUACCGAAAGGCAGGGGUCUUUUUCUCAUUUCUUGGCCUCCAUUCCAAUCUGGGUCCGAAUCUCACCAAAAUUGGUAGAUGAUCUGAUCUCGUAGAACAUAUAUGUUCCACCGAAGCGUCCUGAAAUAUGUCACUCCAUGACGAGGACGCCACCCCUCUAUCCAGCCGGGCUUUCACAUUCCUCUUGCCUUCUUGUUUGUUGUCGUAUGUCCACGCCGGCCCAUUAAAACCGAGGUCAUGAAGUUCACAGUUGGAGAGCACUUCUCGAAAGUUUGCCAUAUUUCUCUCCGAUCUGUAGCAGGAAGAGAAAUGUUCAGAUUGCCACAUAGUCUCAUUAAAAUCACCUAUAACCAACCAUGGUGCAUUGGAGGCAUGUUUUAUUCUUCUCAGGAGGUUCCACAUAUGGUGACGUUCAUGCGCUUUUGCCUCUCCAUACAAAAAAGUUGCACGCCAUUGCUGGCCAUGGGGGUUUAAACGAAUCAACACAUCAAUGUAUCUCAAACCCACGGCAAGUUUUAUUACUUCCACGCUUUCAUCAUAAUACAAAGCUAUGCCGGCUCCUUUUCCUACGCCAGCAUGGGUGAUGCAGUGUUUCAGGCCUAGUCUCCAUCUUAGGCUGCUUACAUAUUUAUUUUUUUGCCGUGUCUCUGAAAGAAAAACGAGCUUUGGCUUGUAGGUGUGCACCAGACACACCAAUUCUUGAACUGUCCGGGGCUGCCCGAGGCCCCGGCAGUUCCAGCUCAGAAGCCGCCACAAGGUUUGCUUGUUUACUAGUAGAUCAUGGUAUUUGUCUAAAAAAAAGUAGAUCAUGAUAAUCAAUAAAACCUAGUGUAGUGCUAAAAGAACAUUGUGCUACCAACGAUAAUUUCGAAUAUCCUAAAAAAAAGCAAAUACUUGAAACAACCGAAGUGCAACGGAACUUGAAACACAUUCUAAAUGCUAGGCCUCUUAUCUCAUGCCUCGGUUACAACCUGUAUUCUUGCUUAUAUACUCCCCCUGUGACUUGGGGGCCAAGUGGACGCACAUGAUCAAGAUAGUGAGUUUCUGACAACGGGCACCGGCAAUCUCGUACAUAGCGCAGCCAUUGUAUUACGCUAGUCCAUCACAUCCCUUAAUCUUCUGUCUGUUUAUCAAAUGUGGUUAGUUUUUUAAGGGUUUCAAAUGUGAUUAGUUAAUUUUUCCUACCUGUUGUCUGUUGGAUGCAAAUUGUGUGCCAGUGGCUCCCCAAAUUCCAUUCUGUGCUGCAAUAAUGUUGAAAGUAUCGUCAUGAGUUACCUUUGUCGUGUAUACUGACCAUGAAUGUAGUGUGACUCUACAAACAGAUGAUUCCAUAGAACUUGAUUAGUGAUGCGCCACACAAUCCUGAUGUAUUGAAGUAAGAGGUGAAGAGGUAAGAAAAAAAAAUCCUCAAAAAUUUCUGAGCGAGCAUUAGGACUCGUAUCAUUGUAGAGUAAACUCAAAGUUGAUAGCAUCAUGUCUCAUGCUAUCACAUAAAUUAGCCAUGUUGACUUGCUGUUGUUUUCUAAUAUAUCUACACUGCCUUCCAUCGUCUUCGCGCAUGUUAGGAACGAGGCUAAGUUAUGGGUGAUCGCCGGUGCUAGGCACCUGGGGUCUAUUAUGCCGCGAGAGUAGGCUUUUGUCUCAUUUGUUGAAGAGUAAUGACCUCGCCAUAAACUUCUGUUACCCUUUUUCUUUAUUAAUGAGAUGAGGCAAAGCUUUUGCCUCCGUUUCGAAAAUAUAUAUAUAUAUAUAUAUCUGGGCGUAGCAGCCGUUGUUAACAGCAUCGGUGCAGAAGGAUAAUGUAUACAAGUAGGAGUACUAAUCUACGUAUUCUUUUAGGGGAACGGGAGAGUUUGACUCCGCUUGCUUGCAGUUUGUUGCUUCGCAUGAUCGCUCUACUACUCUUUUAUUGGAACGACAUCGAGAUGCAGCCCAAGCCAACCGAUCCCCUCAACUCUCUGCUCUGCGAUGCUCUUCCACAUCAUUUUUCUCUGAUGUUCUCAUACAGGUUUGUAAUGUAAGCAAAUUUCAUCCUCAUGCAUGUAGUAGAAGAGAUCGACUGCACAAAUCUACUUUGGCUCAUAUGAUGGAUUUCUGUUGGGGCAUGUCCCUGAUCAACAGCAUUUGAGGUGAGGGAGAGGCGCGGGNNNNNNNNNNNNNNNNNNNNNNNNNNNNNNNNNNNNNNNNNNNNNNNNNNNNNNNNNNNNNNNNNNNNNNNNNNNNNNNNNNNNNNNNNNNNNNNNNNNNNNNNNNNNNNNNNNNNNNNNNNNNNNNNNNNNNNNNNNNNNNNNNNNNNNNNNNNNNNNNNNNNNNNNNNNNNNNNNNNNNNNNNNNNNNNNNNNNNNNNNNNNNNNNNNNNNNNNNNNNNNNNNNNNNNNNNCCCGCGCCUCUCCCUCACCUCAAAUGCUGUUGAUCAGGGACAUGCCCCAACAGAAAUCCAUCAUAUGAGCCAAAGUAGAUUUGUGCAGUCGAUCUCUUCUACUACAUGCAUGAGGAUGAAAUUUGCUUACAUUACAAACCUGUAUGAGAACAUCAGAGAAAAAUGAUGUGGAAGAGCAUCGCAGAGCAGAGAGUUGAGGGGAUCGGUUGGCUUGGGCUGCAUCUCGAUGUCGUUCCAAUAAAAGAGUAGUAGAGCGAUCAUGCGAAGCAACAAACUGCAAGCAAGCGGAGUCAAACUCUCCCGUUCCCCUAAAAGAAUACGUAGAUUAGUACUCCUACUUGUAUACAUUAUCCUUCUGCACCGAUGCUGUUAACAACGGCUGCUACGUCCAGAUAUAUUGAAAAAACAAAAUCAAGUCAACAUGGCAAAUUUAUGCGAUAGCAUGAGACAUGAUGCUAGUAUCAACUUUGAGUUUACAAUGAUACGAGUCCUAAUGCUCAGAAAUUUAUGAGAUUUCUUUUACCUCUUCACCUCGUACUCCAGUGCAUCAGGUUGCAUUGUGUGGCGCAUCAUUAAUCAAUUUCAAUGGAAUCAUCUGUUUUGUAGAGUUUUUGCUUAAAAAAAUCUGUUUGUAGACUGACACUACAUUCAUGGCAGUAUACACAAAAGUAACUCAUGGCAAUACUUCCAGCACUGGUGCAGCAGAGAAAUGGAAUUUGGGGAGCCACUGGCACACAAUUCGCAACCAACAAGUAGGAGAAAAUAACCAAUCGCAUCUGAAACCCUUAAAAAACUAACCACAUUUUGAUAUACACACAGAAGACUAAAGGAUGUGAAGGACUAUCGUGAUACAAUGGCGAGAUUGCCGGUGCCCGUUGUCAGGAACUCACUUUCUUGAUCAUGUUCGUCCACUUGGCCCCCAAGUCACAGGGGAGGCUUGCUCUUUGAAACACUAGAAUACGGCAGGGAUGUCCACUUGAUCAUGAUUUCAUUUUAUUUCCCCUAUAAUUUUGCGGGUGGAACCUGCAUAGUUAGAGAAAGAAAGUGAGUUGUCCAGGCAUGAUUUCGACUGUUUGAUCGGUCAACUAAAUAAAAUUCAAAACUAUACAAUGUGACAGUGACCGUAUAAUAACCUCAACGCAUAUAUAGUGACCGUAUUGAUCAUAUUCUUAAGUACAAUGACUAAAGUGAGCGUAUACAACAAGUUCAGUGAUAUCAAUUAAUGCAUUUUACUCUUCUGUGAAAUUAUAGAUUCAUGUUGUUGCAGUAUACUAAUUUUCUCCUACUAAAUAAACAUUGUACAGCGCAAACCGAAUCACAAUAUACUUUCCUUGCAAACUAAAUGGAUUUUGUUUUUCGAGGGAAUGCAAGCUUUCCUUUUUUUAGAAGAGAGGGAAUGCAAACUAGACGGAUUCUUGGACUAUUUGCCUACAUGGGCCCAAAGCACGAAAUGUAUCACAGACUUGGGCCACAAAGCUACUAGCCCACCUCUUCUAAAAAAGGCUAUUAGCCCAACUCACUCACUCCAUCGACUCCUUCCACUCUCGAGCAAUGGGGAGUCAACUGCUGCCGCCGCCGGCGGCGGCGGCUGUGCCUCCAGCAAAACGCCCGUCGACCCCGCCCACCACCACCACCACUAGCAUCACCACCGCCGCCAACGGAAGCACAACCACCACAACCAAAACCACCUCCACCUCCGCCGAUGGCACCACUACCAUCACAAUCACCACCACAACCACGGCCACCGCCACCGCCGCCGCCGCCACCACCACUAUAUCGUCCCUCAGCGCAGACGACCUCCGCGAGAUCUUGCUCCGCCUCCCGGACCUCCGGGCUCUCAUCCGCGCCACGCUCACCUGCCGCUCAUGGCUCGGCGCCGCCGCGCCUCCCGGCCAUUCCGCGGCCUGUUCCGCGCCCUCCACCCGGCACCGCUCCUCGGGCUCUUCACCCCAAUCAACGGAAGCGCCACCCCCUCCUUCGCCCCGCCGCCCCGCUUCUCCAUCGAGUCGUCGCCGCGCUCACCACCGAAUUCGCCAUGAAAGACCUUGGCAACCUCCACUACUUUCUUGGCAUUCGUGUGAUGCGCUCUCCGGCCGGCUUCUUCCUCUCUCAAGAGCAGUACGGCGAGGACAUCCUCGAGCACGCUGACAUGGACGCCCGCAAGCCAGUGCCAACCCCCGUUGACACCAAGGCCAAGCUCUCUUCUGCCGGUGGUCCGCGUGUUGAUGACCCCACUGCCUACCGCAGUCUCGCUGGCGUGCUGCAGUACCUGACGGUGACUUGCCCCGAGCUUGCUUAUGUCGUGCAGCAACUCUGCCUUCAUAUGCAUGAUCCGCGCGCCUGUCACCUUGUCCUCCUCAAGUGCGUGUUGCGGUAUGUGCGCGGCACCGUCUCCCUCGGCCUACAACUUCAUCCUUCCUCGACGCUGGAUCUUCGUGUGUACACCGACGCCGACUGGGCCGGCUUCCCGAUACUCGCCGAUCGAUGUCUGGCUACUGCGUCUUCCUCGGGGACUGAUACGUCUCCAACGUAUCUAUAAUUUUUGAUUGCUCCAUGCUACUUUAUCUACUGUUUUAGGCAAUUAUGGGCUUUAUUUUCCACUUUUAUAUUAUUUUUGGGACUAACCUAUUAACCGGAGGCCCAGCCCAGAUUUGCUGUUUUAUGCCUAUUUCAGUGUUUCGAGGAAAAGGAAUAUCAGACGGAGUCAAAACGGAACGAAAUCAACUGGAGAAGUUAUUUUUGGAAGGAAAGCCACCCGAUGGACUUGGAGUGCACGUCAGGAGAUACGGGAGGUGCUCACGAGGGUGGGGGGAGACCCCCUUGGGCGUGCCCCUGCCUCGUGGGACCCCCAUAGCUCCACCAACGUACUUCCUGCACCCAUAUAUACCUACGUACCCAAAAACUUCCAGAACAAAACCUAGAUUGGGAUUUCCGCCGCCGCAAGACUCCGUAGCCACCAAAAACCAAUCGGGACCCUAUUCCGGCACCCUGCCGGAGGGGGCUCCCAUCACCGUAGGCCAUCUUCAUCAUCCCGACGCUAUCCAUGACGAGGAGGGAGUAGUUCACCCUAGGGGCUGAGGGUAUGUACCAGUAGCUAUGUGUUUGAUCUCUCUCUCUCUCGUGUUCCAUCUAUGGCAAGAUCUUGAUGUAUCCCGAGCUUUGCUAUUGUAGUUGGAUCUUAUGAUAUUUCUCCCCCUCUACUCUCUUGUGAUGAAUUGAGUUUCCCCUUUGAAGUUAUUUUAUUAGAUUGAGUCUUUUAUGAGAACACUUGAUGUAUGUCUUGCCGUGAUUAUCUGUGGUGACAAUGGGAUAUCAUGUGCCACUUGAUGUAUGUUUUGGUGACCAACUUGUGGGUUCCACCCAUGAACCUAUGCAUAGUGGUUGGCACACGUUCUUGACUCUCCGGUAGUAGCUUUGGGGCACUCUUUGAAGUACUUUUAUGUUGGUUGGAUGAAUCUGAGAUUGUGUGAUGCAUAUCGUAUAAUCAUGCCCACGGAUACUUGAGGUGACAAUGGAGUAUCUAGGUGACAUUAGGGUUUUGGUUGAUUUGUGUCUUAAGGUGUUAUUCUAGUAUGAACUCUAUGAUGGAUUGAGCGGAAAAAAUAGCUUUAUGUUAUUUUACUACGAACUCUUGAAUAGAUAGAACAGAAAGGAUAACUUUGAGGUGGUUUCGUACCCUACCAUAAUCUCUACGUUUGUUCUCCGCUAUUAGUGGCUUUGGAGUGACUCUUUGUUGCAUGUUGAGGGCUUGUUAUAUGAUCUAUCUAUGUUAUUAUUGUUGAGAGAACUUGCACUAGUGAAAGUAUGAACCCUAGGCCUUGUUUCCUAUCAUUGCAAUACCGUUUACGCUCACUUUUACCGCUCGCUACCUUGCUGUUUUUAUUAUUUUAGAUUACAAAAACCUAUAUCUACUAUCUAUUUUGCACUUGUAUUACCAUCUCUUCGCCGAACUAGUGCACCUAUACAAUUUAGCAUUGUAUUGGGUGUGUUGGGGACACAAGAGACUCUUUGUUAUUUGGUUGCAGGGUCGCUUGAGAGAGACCAUCUUCAUCCCACGCCUCCUACGGAUUGAUAAACCUUAGGUCAUCCACUUGAGGGAAAUUUGCUACUGUCCUACAAACCUGUGCACUUGCAGGCCCAACAACGUCUACAAGAAGAAGGUUGUGUAGUAGACAUCAAGCUCUUUUCUGGCGCCGUUGCCGGGGAGGCUAGGUAAACGGUAUUCACACUCCGUCACUAAGCUCUUUUCUGGCGAGGUGAGUGCUUGAAGGUAUAUCUUUAGAUCUUGCAAUCGAAUCUUUUUGUUUCUUGUUUUAGCACUAGUUUAGUUUAUAAAAUAAAAUUACAAAAAAAUGGAGUUAAGUUUGUCUCAUACGCUUCACCUUUUUAAUAUCUUUCAUGAGUAUGAUUGAAAGGAUAAUUGUGCUCAAGUGCUAGAAGAAGAAAUCUCUAAAUUGUUUGGCACUAAAUUUUUGAAUGAUGAGCAUGAUUGCAAUGUUGUUAGUACGAAUUCUUUGAAUAUCCAUGAUGCUAAUGAUGAUUGCACUAGUUAUGAUGGAAAUGCCUCCUAUAAGCAUGUCAAUUUUUGCGGAGUGCAUUGGGCUUGCAAGGACACACCAAAUAGGGAAGAUAGAUAUUGCAAGAGGCAUAAGUACUUAGAAACUAUAUGGUUGCAAGAAAGGCUAGAUGCAUGUGCUGAAAAUUUAUUUUUUCUUAGCCAUACUUGUGAACUUUGCAAUGAACGUGAUCAUUUUAGUACCCAAUGCAAAUUGUUUCAUGAUUGUAUCGUGUCCAAAAAUUGUGAUGACUUGAUUUCCCUUGCACAUCAUAAUGGGCUUAGUUUGCUCUUGGGUUAUGAAGAAAUAAAAUGUAUAACUAAGAUUAUUCCCGAAUUUUCCCUUGAUAGAAUUCUUCAUUUUGAUCUAGAAGAAAUUUAUAUGUAUUGUGCGGUGAAUUGCAUUGAAAAUCCUUAUAUUGCCAAUUACAUAAAGAAAAGAAAACAAAUAGAGGAUGAAGAGAAUACUAAUGAAAGGGAAGAGGCUUCCCAAUCUCCUCCUAUUAUUUCUUAUGAUGAAUCGGGUAACAAGGAGGAGCUUUCUAUUCAGCCAAUCUCAUCAAUAAGGAGCUCAAAGAGGAAGGUUGAACCUACGCAUAAUGUGAAGAAUAAAAAGAAAAUAAGGAGAAACAAAGGUAGAAAGGUAUCCCUCCUAAAUGAUGUUGCUCCUACUACUUGUGAUGAUGAUAAUUGCUAUACUAUAGGUGCUAUCAAUAUUUUUAAUGAUGAGAGUGAUUAUGCUUAUGAUAUGAAAGGGCCCAAGCUUGGGAAGCUAUGUUUUAUGAGUAUGAAAUAUUUGAGAAUAUAUUUGCUGAAAUUAAUGUUUGUCCCAAGCUUGGGGAUGCUACAUUUAAUGAAGAUGAUAUUUUUAGCAUCCCAAGCUUUGAUAUGCAAAGUUGUUAUGAUGAUAGCAUGCCUCCUACCUAUGAUGAUUAUAUUGAUGAAAGUGGGUUUGGAAGAGUGUCAACUUUAGGUAGUAUUGGUCCCACUAUGUUGGAGGAUGUUGAAUUUUAUUGUGAUGAAUAUGAAAGUGGAUUUGGAAGAGUGUCAACUUUAUUUAGUGAUUCCACUAUCUUGGGAGAGGUUUCAAUCGAUUAUGAUGAGAACGAAGUUGCUACUUAUGAUGAUUAUUGUGAUAAAACUUAUGCUAUAAAAAGUAGUGAGGAUUAUAUUUACAAAUCUUGUCAUGAUUAUGAUUACCCUUUUUCUGAACAUUACUCUUUUAAUGUGGAAACAAUUUUUAGUGUUCAAGUCUCUCAUGAUACUCCCACUACUAUUCAUGAGAAGAAUUUUGCUUAUGUGGAGAGUAGUAAAUUUUUUAUGCUUGUAGAUCAUGAAAAGAAUGCUUUAGGUGCUGUUUAUAUUGUUGAAUUCAUUCAUGAUGCUACUGAAAAUUAUUAUGAGGGGGGAACAUAUGCUUGUAGGAAUUGCAAUAAUAUCAAGUUUCCUCUCUAUGUGCUUAAAUUCUUGAAGCUAUGCUUGUUGUACCUUCCUAUGCUAGUUGAUUAUUGUUCCCAUAAGUUGUUUGCUCACAAAAUCCCUAUGCAUAGGAAGUGUGUUAGACUUAAAUGUGCUAGUCAUAUGCUUCAUGAUGCUCUUAUUAUGUUCCAAUUCUUAUCUUUUAUGUGAGCAUCAUUGUCAUCAUCAUGCCUAGCUAGAAAGGCAUUAAAGAAAAGCUCUUGUUGGGAGACAACCAAAUAUUUAUCCUUACUGUUUUUGUGUGUCCACAUGAUUAUGAUACUGUAGUAAUCAUGUUUUAUAGCUUUUGUUUCAAUAAAGUGCCAAGUAGAACCUUUGGGAAGACUUGGGUGAAGUUUAUGUGAUCUUGCUGUGAAAAACAGAAACUUUAGCGCUCACGAGAUUAGCUGCCAUUUUUUACUAGAGAGUGCUUUUAGGUUGAUUCUUUUUGCAUAGGAUUAAUAGACAAAUUACUCAGGUACAGAAAUUUAUUUAAUAAUUUUUGGGGUUCCAUAAGUAUACGUUUUAUACUGAUUACUACAGACUGUUCUGUUUUUGACAGAUUCUGUUUUCAUUGUGUUGUUUGCUUAUUUUGAUGCAUCUAUGGCUAGUAUUAAUUGGUAUGAAGCAUAGAGAUGUUAGAAUACAGUAUAUAUUACACCAAUAUGAAUUUAGAAUGAGUUCAUUACAGUACCUAAGUGGUGGUUUUAUUAUACUAACGGAGCUUACGAGGUUUGUUUUGAGUUUUGUGUGGUUGAAGUUUUCAAGUUUUGGGUAAAGAUUCGAUGGACUAUGGAAUAAGUAGUGGUAAGAGCCUAAGCUUGGGGAUGCCCAAGUCACCCCAAGGUAAUAUUCAAGGACAACCAAGCAACUAAGCUUGGGGAUGCCCCGGAUGGCAUCCCCUCUUUCUUCUUCGUUCAUCGGUAACUUUACUUGGAGCUAUAUUUUUAUUCACCACAUGAUAUGUGUUUUGCUUGGAGCAUCAUUUUAUUUUGUUAGUUUUUGAUUGCUGUUAGUUAGAAUAAUGUUUUGCAUCUUUAGUUUCAAUAAAAAGUCAAGGAUAGCCUUUGCCAUGCUUAUUUUGCUAGUUUGCAUGUUGCUGUUUGAAAACAGAAAGUUUACCGCUGUUGCAAAAAUUCCCCAGAAAAGUCAGAGCAUGGUCUAACGUUGAAUCUUUUUGCAUAUUAAGAUCUGAUAAAUUUAUUACAGUGUUAAUUUUAGUUCAUAAUUUUUGGAGUUAGGGAAGUAUUGUUACUCUUGCAUUCUUUACAGACCGUACUGUUUUGGCAGAUUGCUGUUAUGUUUGCAUUGUUUGCGUAUGUUUUCUUGUUUAAUGAUUCUAUUUGAGGAUAGGAGUAUUAAAUAUACAGAGGCAUUUAGUAUGCAAUGUUGAAUAAUAAUGUUAGUGAUUUGUUACAGUAUAAGAUGAUAUGGUUUUGCAUUGGUUUAUACUAACCUAUCUCACGAGUUCUUGUUGAGUUUGUUGUGAAUGAAGCUUUUGAUAAAAAGAGAAACCGUGACAUGAAAGGAAUUAAGGAGACACAAAAGCUCAAGCUUGGGGAUGCCCAAGGCACACCAAGAUAAUAUUUCAAUAAGUCUCAAGCAUCUAAGCUUGGGGAUGCCCCGGUGGGCAUCCCACCUUUCUUCUUCGACAAACUAUCGGUUAGUAUCGGUUGAGCCUAAGUUUUUUGCUUCUUCACAUGAGUUGUGCUAUCCUUGAAUGUCAUUUUAUUUUGUUUUUGUUGCUGCUUGAAUACAGUAUCAAGAUCUGAAAUUAUUAAAUGGGAGAGUCUUCACAUAGUUGCAUACUUAUUCGACUACUCAUUGAUCUUCACUUAUAUCUUUCAGAGUAGUUUUUGUUAUUGCUCAUAGUGCUUCACUUAUAUAUUUUGAGCUUGAUAAUUUUUGCUCUAGUGCUUCACUUAGAUUAUUUUGAGAGUCAUUAAUAGCAUGGUAGUUUGCUUAAUGUUAAUAUACUUGGUGUUCAAGAUAUGUGAAACUUUCUUAUGAGUGUGUUGAAUACUAAGAUAAGUUUGAUGCUUGAUAAUUGUUUUGAGAUAUGGAGGUGAUAAUAUCAAAGUCGUGCUAGUUGGGUGAUUAUGAAUUCAAAGAAUACUUGUGUUGAAGUUUGCAAGUCCCGUAGCAUGCACGUAUGGUUAAAGUUGUGUAACAAAUUUGAAACAUGAAAUGUACCUGGCUUGUGCAUCCUUAUGAGUGGCGGUCGGAGACGAGCGAUGGUCUUUUCCUACCAUUCUAUCCCCCUAGGAGCAUGCACGUAGUACUUGAUUUUUGAUGACUUAAAUUUUUUUGCAAUAAGUAUAUGAGUUCUUUUGACUAAUGUUGAGUCCAUGGAUUAUACGCACUCUCACCUUUCCACCUUUGCUAGCCUCUUCGGUACCGUGCAUUGCCCUUUCUCACCUUGAGAGUUGGUGCAAACUUCGCCGGUGCAUCCAAACCCCGUGAUACGAUACGCUCUAUCACACAUAAACCUCCUUAUAUCUUCCUCAAAACAGCCACCAUACCUACCUAUUAUGGCAUUUGCAUAGCCAUUCCGAGAUAUAUUGCCAUGCAACUUCCAUCAUCAUCAUCAUGACAUACAUUACUUUUGUCAUAUUGCCAUUGCAUGAUCAUGUAGUUGACAUCGUAUUUGUGGCAAAGCCACCAUUCAUUAUUUUUCAUACAUGUCACUUUUGAUUCAUUUUACCAUCCUGGUACACCGCCGGAGGCAUUCAUAUAGAGUCAUAUCUUGUUCUAAGUUUCGAGUUGUAAUCCUUGUGUUGUAAUCAAUAGAAGUGUGAUGAUCAUCAUUAUUAGAGCAUUGCCCAAAUAAAAAAAGAAGAGAGAUGCCAAAAGGAAAAAAAGAAAGGCCAAAAAAAAAUAAAAAAAAUAAAAAGGGCAAUGCUACUAUCUCCUUUUCCACACUUGUGCUUCAAAAUAGCACCUUAUUCUUCAUGUAGUGAGUCUCAUAUAUUGUGCUUCAAAGUAGCACCUUGUUCUUCAUGUAGUGAGUCUCAUAAGUUGUCCUUUUUAUACUAGUGGGAAUUUUUCAUUAUAGAACUUGGCUUGUAUAUUCCUACGAUGGGCUUCCUCAAAUGCCCUAGGUCUUCGUGAGCAAGCAAGUUGGAUGCACACCCAGUAGUUUUCUUUUGCUGAUCAUUCAUAGCUCUAGUGCAUCCGUUGCAUGGCAAUCCCUACUCCUCAUGUUGACAUCAAUUGAUGGGCAUCUCCAUAGCCCGUUGAUUAUCCUCGUCAAUAUGAGACUUUCUCCUUUUUUGUCUUCUCCACACAAUCCCCAUCAUCAUAUUCUAUUCCACCAAUAGUGCUAUAUCCAUGGCUUGCGCUCAUGUAUUGCGUGAAGGUUGAAAAAGUUUGAGAUUAUUUAAGUAUGAAACAAUUGCUUGGCUUGUCAUCGGGGGUAUAGAAGUUGGGAACAUCUUUGUGUGACGAAAAUGAAGCAUAGCCUAACUAUAUAAUUUUGUAGGGAUGAACUUUCUUUUGCCAUGUUAUUUUGAGAAGACAUGGUUGCUUUGAUUAGUAUGCUUGAAGUAUUAUUACUUUUAUGUUAAUAUGAACUUUUGUCUUGAAUCUUUCGGAUCUGAAUAUUCAUAUCACAAUUAAGAAGAUUUACAUUGAAAUUACGCCAAAGUAUCACUCCGCAUCAAAAAUUCUUUUUUAUCAUUUACCUACUCGAGGACGAGUAGGAAUUAAGCUUGGGGAUGCUUGAUACGUCUCCAACGUAUCUAUAAUUUUUGAUUGCUCCAUGCUACUUUAUCUAUUGUUUUAGGCAAUUAUGGGCUUUAUUUUCCACUUUUAUAUUAUUUUUGGGACUAACCUAUUAACCGGAGGCCCAGCCCAGAUUUGCUGUUUUAUGCCUAUUUAAGUGUUUCGAGGAAAAGGAAUAUCAGACGGAGUCAAAACGGAACGAAAUCAACUGGAGAAGUUAUUUUUGGAAGGAAAGCCACCCGAUGGACUUGGAGUGCACGUCAGGAGAUACGGGAGCUGCUCACAAGGGUGGGGGGCGCGCCCCCCUGGCUCGUGGGACCCCCAUAGCUCCACCGACGUACUUCCUGCACCCAUAUAUACCUACGUACCCAAAAACUUCCAGAACAGAACCUAGAUCGGGAGUUCCGCCGCCGCAAGCCUCCGUAGCCACCAAAAACCAAUCGGGACCCUGUUCCGGCACCCUACCGGAGGGGGAUCCCAUCACCGGAGGCCAUCUUCAUCAUCCCGACGCUAUCCAUGACGAGGAGGGAGUAGUUCACCCUCGGGGCUGACGGUAUGUACCAGUAGCUAUGUGUUUGAUCUCUCUCUCUCUCGUGUUCUCUCUCGUGUUCCAUCUAUGUCACGAUCUUGAUGUAUCCCGAGCUUUGCUAUUGUAGUUGGAUCUUAUGAUGUUUCUCCCCCUCUACUCUCUUGUGAUGAAUUGAGUUUCCCCUUUGAAGUUAUUUUAUCGGAUUGAGUCUUUUAUGAGAACACUUGAUGUAUGUCUUGCCGUGAUUAUCUAUGGUGACAAUGGGAUAUCAUGUGCCACUUGAUGUAUGUUUUGGUGACCAACUUGCGGGUUCCACCCAUGAACCUAUGCAUAGUGGUUGGCACACGUUCUUGACUCUCCGGUAGUAGCUUUGGGGCACUCUUUGAAGUAUUUUUAUGUUGGUUGGAUGAAUCUGAGAUUGUGUGAUGCAUAUUGUAUAAUCAUGCCCACGGAUACUUGAGGUGAGAAUGGAGUAUCUAGGUGACAUUAGGGUUUUGGUUGAUUUGUGUCUUAAGGUGUUAUUCUAGUAUGAACUCUAUGAUGGAUUGAGCAGAAAGAAUAGCUUUAUAUUAUUUUACUACGAACUCCUGAAUAGAUAGAACAGAAAGGAUAACUUUAAGAUGGUUUCGUACCCUACCAUAAUCUCUACGUUUGUUCUCCGCUAUUAGUGGCUUUGGAGUGACUCUUUGUUGCAUGUUGAGUGCUUGUUAUAUGAUCUAUCUAUGUUAUUAUUGUUGAGAGAACUUGCACUAGUGAAAGUAUGAACCCUAGGCCUUGUUUCCUAUCAUUGCAAUACCGUUUACGCUCACUUUUACCGCUCGCUACCUUGCUGUUUUUAUUAUUUUAGAUUACAAAAACCUAUAUCUACUAUCUAUUUUGCACUUGUAUUACCAUCUCUUCGCCGAACUAGUGCACCUAUACAAUUUAGCAUUGUAUUGGGUGUGUUGGGGACACAGACUCUUUGUUUAUUUGGUUGCAGGGUCGCUUGAGAGAGACCAUCUUCAUCCUACGCCUCCUACGGAUUGAUAAACCUUAGGUCAUCCACUUGAGGGAAAUUUGCUACUGUCCUACAAACCUGUGAACUUACAGGCCCAACAACGUCUACAAGAAGAAGGUUGUGUAGUAGACAUCAGGGACGCUCUCGUCUCGUGGUCUUCAAAGCGUCAGCCUAUCGUCUCCCGCUCCAGUGCGGAGGCAGAGUACCGCGGCGUGGCCAACGCUGUGGCAGAAUGCGUUUGGCUACGACAACUCCUCGGCGAGCUUCGCUGCGCGGUCACCACUGUUACACUUGUCUAUUGUGACAACAUAUCCGCCAUGUACCUCUCCAGCAACCCUGUUCAUCAUCGCUGCACCAAGCACGUGGAGCUGGACAUUCACUUCGUCCGCGAGCACGUCGCCCUUGGCGACUUUCGUGUUCUACAUGUUCCCACGCGACAACAAUCCGCGGACGUGAUGACGAAGGGGUUGCCGAGCGAUGUCUUUCAUGAUUUUCGGUCUAGUCUUUGCGUCGCCUCUCGCGACGUCACGACUGCAGGGGGGGUAUUGAACCUCGUGUACCUCGUGUAGUAUACGCACUUGUACCGUAGAGUAGUAGUAGCAGAUGUGGGUGCAGUUUUGUUAGCCAAAGCGCCCACGAUCGCCUCCUCUUGAACGCGGCCUGGCCACGAUCACCAUCGUGCGCCCACGCCCGCUGUUCCCCUCUGUAUAACUGUCCUGCUGAUGCAAUAUGAUCGGUGUGUUCAAUCCUCUUUCUCCUCUUCCUCCUCAACAACCACCACCACCACUAUUCGUCCCUCUGCGCAGACGACCUCCGCGAGAUCUUGCUCCGCCUCCCGGACCUCCGGGCCCUCAUCCGCGCCGCGCUCACCUGCCGCGCAUGGCUCGGCGCCGUCUGCGCCUCCCGGCCCUUCCGCCGCCUGUUCCGCGCCCUCCACCUGGGGCUGCUCCUCGGUCUCUUCAUCCCAACCGACGGCAGCGCCACCCCCUCCUUCGCCCCGCUGCGCCGCCGCUCAGACCCGGAUGUCACGGCCGCCCUCCGCUGCGGCGACUUCUUCCUCACCUCCCUCCCGCUCGAGGCCGACCCGCCCAAGGGCUGGAGCCUCAUGGACUGCCGCGACGGCUACCUCCUCCUAUGGAACACGCUCUCCCUCGCCGCCGUGAACCCCAUGACCUGGGCCAUGGACAUCAUCCCGAUGCCCGGCGACGAUGUGGCAAGCCGGGAGUCGCAACCAUUUCUCCUUCCUUGGUUUCAGUCUGCUGUGCUCCACACGAGCACCCGUCGUCGUUCCGCGUGGUCUGCGUCUGCUUGGACCAGCAAAGGAUCCGUGCCGCCGUCUUCUCCUCGCAGACAUGGGGUUCGGUCGUCCACCCGUGGGUGCAUGUCGGUGGCGACCGCAGCCUGAGGUUCAACAGUAGCACGUUGGUGAAUGGGUCCGUUUACUGGCCUGUCCACGGUGAACGCCACAUGGUUAGGAUAGACACAGCCACCAUGGAUAUCUCCUCUGUGGAUCUACCCUCGGAAGUGAAGGUGCACGUGCUCAAUUUCAAGGCUGGGGACACUAAGGAUGGCCGAGUAUGCAUCGUCUAUGGACCUGAUGUCUUCCUUCGCGUUUGUAUCCGUGGCGUGGACAGUGAUGGAAUCGAGGUUUGGGUUUCAGACGUUGCAAUCAAUUUGGGUCCAGAAAUUGAUCGGGCCACUCAUGGGUUCACUCAUGACUUGCAUGUCUACCUCAAAGUUGUGCAAGUUAGGUCUGGAUAUGUCUACUUGUCCACGACGUGCUUGACCCCUGCUGGCACACUCCACUGCUGGUUUUACUCCCUUUCAUUGGAGACCUUGGUGCUUGAGUUACUGGUCGAGGGGAAAUUCGACGGUUCUGCCCAUCUCUAUCAUAUGGCCUGGCCUCCUUUGAUUGGUGAUGAUGUGACCACUGGACAUGAAGUUGAAGGUUCUCAUUGAAGUCUGCAGCUGUUUGUCAUACGAGGAAAUGGAUGGAAGUGUGUGGGUAUGAGCUAACCCUUAGUAUUAGUUUUUUAAUGCAAAAUGAUGUCUAGUUGGCAUUGAGAACUGGAAGAUCAUUCCUUUGUAUCUUAAGUGAUGAUUAUUCCCAUAGAAACCUUUAGAUGCUUUAAGUAAAUUUUAUGCAAGAUUGGAUUUUCAUCUGGUGCAAACUUUCUAUGGACCAGUACUGCUAUGUUGCAUUUGCUGCUAGGCCCGACUAACUAUUUUGUUUCAACCUUUUGUGUUCGAGUUCAUCAUUUAUUUGAGAGAAAUACACAAGACUGCUAGUUCUAGAAAGUAAUGGUUAUUAGUUACUCUGUUGGUGCAAAAUGGUAUAUAUUUAGCAUUGAAACCUGGAUUGUAUAAGUAAUGGUUAUUGCCAUAUAAACCCUUAGAUGCUUUAAAACUAUUGGUAGUACUCCCUCCGUUCCUAAAUAUUUGUCUUUUUAGAGAUUUCAAAUGGUUAGAACAUAUGGAUGUAUGUAGACAUAUUUUGUAGUGUAGAUUCACUCAUUUUGCUCCGUAUGUAGCCACUUAUUGAAAUCUCUAGAAAGACAAAUAUUUAGGAACGGAGGGAGUACAUUUCUGGAGCUAAUGAAUUUUAUGGAAGAUUGGAUUUUGAUCUGCUGCAAACUUUCUAUGGAAUAGUUCUGAUAUGUUGCAUUUGCUGCUAGGCCUAAUUUAUUUCUAUUGUUUGUGUUUGAGUUGGUCAUUUAUUGAGAGAAAAACUCAAGAUUGCUAGUUCUGGAAAGUAAUUAUGAUAAACUCUGAAUAAAAUGAACUUUUGAACAUGCUUAUGUGGUUCUUGCAGUUUUCUUGUUUACUUUUAUUUUAUCACAGUCUUCCUCUUUGACAAUGCAAAUUUUCUUGUUUUCCAUUUCUUUCUCUGCACAAUCUCUUAAUGUUUGAGAAUAUCUUGUUCUCAGCCUUUGUUGUUCUUUGUUGCACGCAAGGCACUACAAAAAAAUACACUUCCGUGAUGAUACGUGUUUGUCACAGUAGGUCACGUUUUUUUCAUGCAUGUACAUCCAUGAUGAUUUUAUGACAGAAUCAAGAUAGUCAUACCUGUGCUGUCGUAGAAGUGUUCCAUGACAUUACCAAAAUUAUCAUCACGGAAGUGUCCACUUCCAUGACGAUAAAUCGCGUGUCACAGAAGUGCUUUCGUCAAGGGUGACUGACACGUGGCAUCCACCGUAGCGGAACGCCGUUAAGCUAUCGGGUCGGGUUUUGGAUCUGAUAACCCGUUAACAGCCCCGACCAAUGGGAAAUUUCCACGUGUAAAAUUCUUAUUGGCGGACGAAACACGUGCCAGCUCGUUAGUGGGUCAGAUAGGGGCCUAUGAUAUGUCGACACGUGCCACGGCCCACCACUGGCCCAUUUAGCUUACAAAGCCGGCCUGUUUGACUUGGUCAAAAGUUAACGGGCUGGCCCAUGAAAAGCUUGUUAACGGUCUCUUCACAAAUAGCCCAUUUUACGACCCGUUAACUCACGGCCCGUUAGGCACUAAAGAAAAUCGGGCCAACAACGUCAUGUGGGCCGUCGAAUAUAACACCAACCCAUUUCACUUUCGGCCCAUGUAUGACUCACGACGUCUUUCAGCCCAUGUGAGGCCUUCGUAUCUUUCGGCCCUUUACAGGCCCACGGUGACUCUAGCCCAUAAUGAACAGUAAUUUUCUUUGUACCCGUUAACGGCCCGUGAUUUACAUGGGCCGUUUCCAGCCCGUGUUAGCUUGCGGCCUAUUGACAGCCCAUACGUUCUUGGGCUCCUUUUCGACCCUCGAUUACUUCCGGCCCGUUACUGGCCUGCUCCCCUAAUGGGCCAAAUUGGGCCCAUGGCCAGAGUCGGCCUGUUACUGGCGUGUUCCACAAAUGGGCCUAAUUCGUCCCAUGGCAAGAGUCGGCCCGUUACUGGCCUGUUACCCUAAUGGGCCAAAUUCGGCCCAUGGCAAGAGUCGGCCCGUUUCUGGCCAGCCCGUCCUAUAUUUUGGCCCAUUAACGACCCGUUAUGCCUGUGACAGAAUUAAGCUUUUGCAGUCCUACGGCCUGUUAACGGCCCGUUACUGUGUUGGGACGAUACCAAUUAUGCCCGAUUAUGGCCCAUGUAGAGCCAUUUAUCCGACGGCCCGAGGCCCACCGAUUACAUGCCCAUUUAUCGACGGCCCGAGGCCCACCAAUUACAGGCCCAUUUAUCGACGGCCCGUAGGAGACCCAUGGAUCCUACGGCCCGUAUAUGGCCCAUGGGUAGUUGCGGCCACUACCAAACCAGGGAAAAAGAAGACUAGGAAAUAUAUAAGGCCGAAACUAACGCUAGGCUAUUAAGGCGAUUGCACAGAUUACAUCCACUUGGCAUCAAAGAUCGCCACCAGUGCAAAUAUAGGGAACACCCUACACUAUACAAAAAAUGGCUUGCUAUUUUCUUCAGCCGGUGGCUGCACAUUAAGAAUAAAUUUUGUAUCGCACCAAAACAAAUUACAACUAUAUAACAAAAGGAAGGUUGGCAUAAAACUUAACAGUCUAGCAGAUAAAUGCACCACCAGAAGUUCAGAAGCUCGGUUCAUUUGACCUGACUGUUAAGUUUUCAUGCUGUAUUGUCCGAUGGAGCACCAUAACCCUCGCCUUCAUUUCCCCUAGGUUCCUGAACAACAUAGCAAGUGUCUGAUAGUCUGGUUUCAAAACCAUGCAUAUCUUGACGACAUUGAGCAAUGCUUCUCCUUGUUUCACAAAGGGCCUCUGUUAGGGAAUGGACUUGUGUCUGGAGCGCAGAUACAACAUUGCUUUGAGCUUGCAUAGCUUGAUCAUGAGGCAGUUUGGACGAUAUUGCCUUAACAACCAACCCAGUAUUACGCAGGAACGUGCUUUUGGCACUGUUAGUGGACAGGUACUGACCCACUGCAGCAAGAGCUGACAUUGCGGUUAUAGUUGCCUCGCCACCUUCAGAAGGCGGCAGUUCCACCAUUUUUUCCAUAGCUCGCUGAAAAGUUGAGGUUUUACAUUAGUAGUACCAGAACAGAAGAUAUUAGGAGGCAGCAAAACCAAACAAAAUAGCUUUGGUCUAUAUACAAAACUUAUUCUGGUGAACCCAUGUAAAAUAUUAGUUGUAUUUUAUUGCAAAGUACAUAAUAAAACCAGGUUCCAAACAUAUGACCAUGUACCAUAGCUAAUGUAUUGUCUAUUUCUUCACAUUGUGUUGAGGGCUAAGGAUAAAGAAACGAAGUUUAUAAUAUGGUAAGCAUAGUAUGACAUCAUUCAUAUCACAAAACAACUGAGAAUAGACAAACAGGCAAUUGUAACAUUGUGUGGGAAAGUCCAGCAUGGAACUAGAUUACGGGUCAAGAUCAAAGGAACAUCACUCCUCCCUUUUAAACCUUGUAAGGUGCAAUGAUAGGCUAAGACAAUUGUGUAUAAAAUUGAAAAGAGUAAUAGAAAUUGGCUGCAAACCAUGCAGUUCAAGGCACAAGUCAGAGUAAGUAGUAGUUAAAAGGCAUGAGGAUUAAGGACUUACAACAGCGGCUUUGACUGGUGUAGUCAUGCCCUUCUUCUUGCUGGCGUGACAGUCCUUGAAGAUUUCCACAACAUUUGGUUCAGGUACUUUUUGGUCCUUGCAGGCUUUCCUCUGCAUUUCGAACAAGUCAAUAUAGAUCUAAUAAUAUGGUACAGCGAAAAGAGUGAAACAACAGCUAAUUACAAGAGCCUCGCAGUGUGCAAUAUAGCUACGAGAUCCUGUCAUCUGUUGGAAUUUCACUUUCGUAUGGUUGGCCUUGUUCUUUGAACAGUUCACCUACAAGAAGAUAGAUUUGUGUGGCACAUGCGUCAAUAGGACUUCAACAUGUGAUCUGAUCACAUAUAUAUAACGUACCUGAUACUUCGGAUCAGACCAGUGUUUAACAAGGCCCCUCCAGUCUUCAUCCGAUAUAUUUUCCACUGGAGAUGUUUGGGAAAGUUCACUGUUAGCCUUGCCUUUAAAGUGAGUUUUCCUCAAGUUAUACCGAUACUGUCGCAGUGCAGACUUGAAAACAUGGGUGCAAGCUUGUCUGGUUGCAUGAUCUUAGCUAUCCAACUUGAACCUCAUCUGUUGAAAAUUAUGGGAGUCUCAUUAUCAGCAACCUAGAAAGUAUGGGACAGAGCAAGACGAUAAUACUAGUUUCCAUACAUAACCAUACUUACAGAUAAAUGGUCGAGGAAGGUGUUGAACUGGGUUUCGUCUUUGUCAUUCCUGACUGAAUCCAUGUUGGGAGGAUACGUACAUGACACCUAACGGCAACCGCUGCCUCUGAUACUAACUUGGCUGACUCUGUAGCAUCACGUGGCCUUUUUGAUCCUGCCUCAAAACAGAUCUCCAUUCUUCGUCCUCUAGAUUUAGUUAACCUAUCGAGCAUUAUCCCUGAUGUUUGUUUCCUCUUGCGCCUAGGUGCUAGUCCAACAACGAACAUAGGAAGUGUUAGUGUACAUCAAGCUGUGAGACUACAUAUAAAGAAGCAUGCAAUUGUAACUUGACUCCAACAACUACCUUCUUGCUGUUGAAGCUCACAAGGUUCAUCUGAUAUUUGUUGGAAAUAUGCCCUAGAGGCAAUGAUAAAUUAGUUAUUAUUAUAUUUCCUUGUUCAUGAUAAUCGUUUAUUAUCCAUGCUAUAAUUGUAUUAAUAGGAAACUCAGAUACAUGUGUGGGUACAUAGACAACACCAUGUCCCUAGUAAGCCUCUAGUUGACUAGCUUGUUGAUCAACAGAUGGUUACGGUUUCCUGACCAUGGACAUUGGAUGUCAUUGAUAACGGGAUCACAUCAUUAGGAGAAUGAUGUGAUGGACAAGACCCAAUCCUAAGCCUAGCACAGAGAUCGUGUAGUUCGUAUGCUAAAGCUUUUCUAAUGUCAAGUAUCAUUUCCUUAGACCAUGAGAUUAUGCAACUCCCGGAUACCGUAGGAAUUCUUUGGGUGUACCAAACGUCACAACGUAACUGGGUGGCUAUAAAGGUGCACUACAGGUAUCUCCGAAAGUGUCUGUUGGGUUGGCACGAAUCGAGACUGGGAUUUGUCACUCUGUGUAAAUGGAGAGGUAUCUCUGGGCCCACUCGGUAGGACAUCAUCAUAAUGUGCACAAUGUGACCAAGGGGUUGAUCACGGGAUGAUGUGUUACGGAACGAGUAAAGAGACUUGCUGGUAACGAGAUUGAACAAGGUAUCGGGAUACCGACGAUCAAAUCUCGGGCAAGUACAAUACCGCUAGACAAAGGGAAUUGUAUACGGGAUCGAUUGAGUCCUUGACAUCGUGGUUCAUCCGAUGAGAUCAUCGUUGAACAUGUGGGAGCCAACAUGGGUAUCCAGAUCCCGCUGUUGGUUAUUGACCGGAGAACGUCUCGGUCAUGUCUGCAUGGUUCCCGAACCCGUAGGUUCUACACACUUAAGGUUCGAUGACGCUAGGGUUAUAAAGGAAGUUUGUAUGUGGUUACCGAAUGUUGUUCGGAGUCCUGGAUGAGAUCCCGAACAUCACGAGGAGUUCCGGAAUGAUCCGGAGGUAAAGAUUUAUAUAUAGGAAGUCCUGUUUUGGUCACCGGAAAAGUUUCGGGUUUUUCCGGUAACGUACCGGGACCACCGGGAGGGUCCCGGGGGUCCACCAAGUGGGGCCACCAACCCCGGAGGGCUGCAUGGGCCAAGUGUGGGAGGGAACCAGCCCCAGGUGGGCUGGUGCGCCCCCACAAGGGGCCCAAGGCGCAAGGGAGAGUGGGAGGGGGCAAACCCUAGGGCAGAUGGGCCCUAAGGCCCACCCCAGGCGCGCCUCCCCUCUCUCCCCCUCUGGCCGCCACCCAGAUGGCAUCUGGGGGGCUGCUGCCACCCUUGGGGAGGGAACCCUAGAGGGGGCGCAGCCCCCUCCCCUCCCCCUAUAAAUACUUGAGGCCUGGGGGCUGCCCAACACAUGAGUUUCUCCCUCUAUUGGCGCAACCCUACCUCUCUUACUCCUCCUCUCCCGUGGUGCUUGGCGAAGCCCUGCAGGAUUGCCACGCUCCUCCAUCACCACCACGCCGUUGUGCUGCUGCUGGAUGGAGUCUUCCUCAACCUCUCCCUCUCUCCUUGCUGGAUCAAGGCAUGGGAGACGUCACCGGGCUGUACGUGUGUUGAACGCGGAGGUGCCGUCCGUUCGGCACUAGGAUCUCUGGUGAUUUGGAUCACGACGAGUACGACUCCUUCAACCCCGUUCUCUUGAACGCUUCUGCUUAGCGAUCUACAAGGGUAUGUAGAUGCACUCUCCUUCCCCUCGUUGCUGGUUUCUCCAUAGAUAGAUCUUGGUGAUUUGUAGGAAAAUUUUGAAUUUCUGCUAUGUUCCACAACAAUAUUGCCAACUCGUCUUGUGUCAAGAGUGCUUGGGAAGUAGUGUCAGGUGGCAAGGGAGCUUGGGAACAUGCUGCUAGCUCAGUUGACGCACGAGUAUGUUGUGCAGCUGGUAGUACUGUGGUAGGUGUUGCAAGAACUAGGGCUGUCUCUGCUUGUUUGGUGGCAGCUAUUUUUUUCUGUUUGGCUUUUUUUGCAGCUCGUGUAGCAUGGGAUGCCGUGUUUGUAGAAUUUUCCGCUGGACUUUCACCUUCUAUUGCACCAUCAGUACCAGCAGAAUCUGCAGGAUUCAUCCGCUUCUCAUUCCCUGCCAUUCUGUGUUUCUUCCUCUUUCUCUGUGCCAUGUUAAGUCAAGCCGACAAGAAAAAUGAAUAACAAUUUAGUUCUUCAGAACAAAUUGAUGCGUGAUGCAGACGAACUGAACUUUGAUGUUAGACAACCACAUGAUAGGAGGAUGUAAUAUGUAUGAAAAAUAGGACGGAAGAGAUAACCAAAACUAUGAUGUGUAAACUAAGAAGAAGACAUUUCACCAAAUUAGAAGCAAUGCAAUGGAAGGUAGACACCAUAUGAAAGAUGCUACAAAUAUCGCUCUGCCAAGUUAACAGUGUCUUAGCAUAAAUGGCGUUUAAACAAAUGUGAAGCAGUACAAGAAAUAAAUCAUAUGCAAGAUGCAAACAACAUCACACUACCAUGUUAGAGGUCUCUCGUCAUUAGUGCCAUUGCAUAUUCACAGCAUUGCAUAUUCACAGCUUAUGAUGUGUAAACUAAGGAGAAGGAAUUUCAACAAAUUAGAAGCAAUGAAAGCUAGACACCAUAUGAAAGAUGCAACGAGUAUCACUCUACCAAGUUAAAACUGUCUCGUCAUAAGUGCCAUUUCAACAAAUUAGUAGUACAAGCUAGAAAAGAAUGUGAGAUGUAACCUAUAUCACACUCCAAAGUCAAAUGUGUCUUAUGAUAAGUGAUUGUUGCAGGUUACACAAUAGUAGUAAUUUGAUGUAAGAACAUGGUGUGAUAGACAGAUAUUGUAUGUUCUAGAAACAGGAACACGUGUCUUAUUCAAGUAUAAUGUGUAAAGUAAGUAGAUGAAUUCAACAAAAUUAGAAGCAAUACAAGCUAGACAUCACACAUAACAUGCAACCACAUAUAAUAGUGCCAAGUUAGAGGGAGCACCAGUGAUGCUGCACUAGGGGAGACGUGCUCAUCAUAAACACAGCUUUGUUGAGUGUCUAUGCAUGUGUUGUCUUGGAAAUCAUCUUGGGGGUGUGGAGGAGUAGAAACUAUAGAGGCCCUCUGUUUGGAAGGGGCACCUUUAUCUACUGCCUUGCUAACUUCCUUUCGCUUUAUUGAUUUUGAAUUGUCAAGUAAAACCGACAAGAAAAAGCAAUGAAAUUCUCUCUUCAGAACUCAUUCAUGCAUGAUACUGACAAUCACUACUUUGAUGUAAGGCAAACACAUGAUACCAGGAUGGAAUAUGUACGAAAAACAGGAUGGCAUGGCAUGUUCACAACUGUUUGUGUAAACUAAGCAGAAACCAUUCCAGCAAAUAAGAAGCAAUGCAAGCUAGACACCACAUGAAAGAUGCAACCAAUAUGACUCUGCCAAGUUAAAAGCGUCCCAUCAUAAAUGGAAUUUUAACAAAUUAGAAGCAGCGCAUGCUAUAAAUCAUAUGAAAGAUGCAACUCAUAUCGCACUGCAUAUACUAAAGGUGUCUCAUCAUAUUGAUUGAUGCGGAAUACAAAAAAACAAUAGUUUUAUGUAAGGACAUGCUUAAUAGACAUAUGUACUAUGUACUAAAUACAGGAAGGCAUGUCACAUUAACAGGUAUAAUGUCACAUUUACAGGAGUAUAAGCUAAGCAGACUAGCACAUGCAGUUUAACCAGAUUGGAAGAAUUACAAUCUAGACACCAUAUGCAACAUGCAACCACAUAUCACGCUGCCAAGUUAGAGCAAGCACAUGCGAUGCUAGUGUAGGGGAAAUGCUGUAAUCAACUACAGAGCUACGUUCACUAUCUUCAUCUAGCAUUUCUGUUUCUUGAGAAUCAUGUCGGGAGGCUGACGCUGCAUUCUUUAAACGAGGAGUAGUCCCCUUGCCGGCCUGCCUCGUCAUAAGUGAUUGAUGAGGGAUACACAAGAACAUUAGUUUGAUGUAAGAACAUGGUUAAUACACAGAUGUACUAGUAUGUACCAAAAACAGAAAGGCAUGCCAUAUUCAAAGGUAUAAUGUGUAAGCUAAGCAGAUGCAAUUUAACCAAAUUGGAAGCAAUACAAGCCAGACAUCCGACUGGAGUGGUGAAUGAUCGUCUAGGACCUGAGAGCCUGGUGGGAGGCGGGCUGCUUCGCCACCAUCGCGGCUUUUUAGUUGGCUUCCAGGUGAUGCCUGUCUUUGCUGGGCUUGUCACUGGCUCAGCCAGUGACCUGACUAGCUAUUUGUCUUCUGGUGCUCACGGGAUGGUGGGUCAUGUAAAAAAUAUCUUUCCUUAUCUUAAUAAAGACCGACUUCGGCCUUUCGAAUACAAGCUAGACACCAUAUGGAACAUGCAACCACAUAUGACACCGCAAAGUUAAAGCAAGCACCUGGGAUGGUGGUUCAUUGCUAGCGAGGUCAUCAACUCCGGAGCAACAUUUACCGUCUCCAUCUGCUGACACUGCACCCUUUAAAGCACUGUAACGUGCCGCGCCUAGCCGCAUAGAAAGCUGGCACGACUUGUCUCUUUUCUUUUUUGCUUCGCUUUCGGCAGACUCUGAAAUACCCUUGCAUAAAAACACAAUAGUGAGAGUAUGGAUGAAGUGUGUGCAGAACUAGUGCACUGUAAAAGUAGCAGAUAGCAGGUGGCUGAAAAAUAAAUGACAGGAGACAUAUGAUAGCUCUACAACAUUGCAUGGCAAACAAAAUUAGAUUCUACUCCAUAUGAUUUUGUAAUAUAUGAGCACAGGAAAUCCAGGUACUCCUCCAGCAACCACCACAUGUGGUCAUAUCUAAGAUAACAGUCGACUGAAAAUAAAUAGGUCAGUCGAUUUUUUAAUGAACCGUCCGAUCUAUAAGGAACGGGCAGAUGGCCUUCGUCUACCUCCCGCCAGUCACUGUUGACGAUCUUUCUCGAAUCGCCAGUGACCACCGCCCAGACCCGUGCCUCCGCCGCCCCGCCCUCCCAUCGACCUCACACCACCGCCAUGCUUGGAAGCACCCCCAAGCCAUCCCUUUAAUCCCAGCCGACCUCCAGAUCGGGCGCCAGUAUCUCUAGGCCGCACACACCCCUAAGAUAAACACCAAGGCGCUGCUUCCCCAGCGUAAUAGUCGUACUAGCGCCUGUUACGCCGGGGAAUGCUUCCGUUAAUUGGGAAUCAACUGGCCAGAAAUUGAAAUUAGGGGGGCGACGGACCUCUAGCUAAGGUGAAAUAGUAUAUGAGGAGAAACCUUGUGCAUCACGAGUUACUAGGAACAUCUAGUAUCAAGAAGAAGCGAUCAACUAGUGUCUUCUAUGGGAUGAAUACCGUGCAAGAAGAGACGUAAGAUUUGCACGAAUAAGGGAAGAGGAGUACCUUCUUCGGUUGCCGGUGUGGUCACCUCCACAUGUCGCGCCGAUCUUCUUCUUAUUACCGGGGAAACCGAUGUUCUGGAGGGUGCAGGCUUGGACGAACCCAUGGCCAAAUUGUUGACUGUGUUGCCAUGGCCGUAUGUUGGCGGAGGGGAAGCAGAUCCGAGGCGGCGAAGGACGGCGUAGCAGGAACAACUCCGGUGCGGUGGAGGGUGGCGAAGUUGGAGUAGCAGCGGUGAUGCGUAGGACGGCAUGGUUGAACCGGCUCGGGUACGGACGGCUCGGCCUCAGCUUCAACUACUAGCCGUGGAGGGCGUUGCGGUUGAGGUUGCGGUGGACGACGAUGUCGGGUUAUCGGCUCCGGCGUGAUGGAGGAGGGCGGCGGUUGAUGGGUGGGAUGGGAUGGCAGACGGAGGACGCCGGGGUUUCGCGACUGGUGAAGAGGUAGUUUUGGCGCCCACGGAGUACAAAUGGGGAAUCGGACGGGUGGGGGGGAACCAUGUUUCGGUCUGGGACGCGCUUGUUUUUGGCUUUUUUGAACAGAAGAUGGGACGCGCUUGUUUGAAAUUUGGGGAAAGUACAAACUUUGCCCCCCUCUUCAAUUUCGGACCUACUGCAGGUCGGGGGUAGGAUGGUAAUCCCAGGUGUCCCAAAUAGUGGGCGGGAGCGAUUUCGGCCGCGCGCAUGUGUGCUUAGGCGGCCAUUGUGUAUGAAUGUUUUUCGGAGGCGGUUGCGUGGCGUCUAGAUGAAGUUACAAACCUACCCCGGUUUAGACCUUUGGACGUCGGGCCGGUAGGUUUCACGGGUCGGAGUUAUUAGAAAAGUAAUUUCCUUGUACUACCAAACAUUGCUCUCACACGGUUUUGGGCGAGUAGAGGCUCUUUUGGCGCUUCGCUCGAAAUUUUGAAACACAAGCAUUCACGUUUAGAGUACUCUUGAACUAUGAGGAUUGACCUAAAUAGACAACGUUAUAUUUGACCUUGUAUGUUUGAAAACCUCAUUAAAAUAUCUGCUUCCUUUUGAAAUUUUGACACUUGAAAAUCCUAUAACUACGAUUAUUUUGGAAUGGAGGAGCUAAAUUUGAAUCUAUUUUAUACACGACUACAUAUGCUAUUAUGUACAAAAUCAGAGCAAAGAUUGGUACCCCCAUAGUUUAGGUAUGGUUUACAAAUGCCAUGAUAUCAAAUUCAAAUAAUUGAAUGGACUUCAUGUUGAAUUCGGUUUUUUAAACCACGUUAGGUUGAAUUCAAAUGUAUGCUAGUUCAUAGGUAGCUAUUUAUAAACGUCCAUUGUGUAACUUUCGUAUGUAUAAUGUGCUUUACACACACAACAUGAACUAUACUCGAUAUUCGAUUGCUAAAGCGAUGCAUUGUCUGGAGUUCAAAAUACUAACUAUGUGGAUCAAUUGUGUCGAAUAAUAACAUAGACAUGCUCAAAUUCGAUAGAAUCUAGAUGUCUGAUGGAUCAAUGACCGCUCCUUACGCGAAUUGCAAAUAUCAUGAUCCCAUCCUAAUAUUUGGAUACAAUUUAUAUCUUUAAUCAAUGUGUAGAGCAGUCUUUUACGUGUAGUUUCACUCUCCAUCGGUGGUCUCUCACACAUUCCCACACACUCUCUCCCGAGGUGUCUUUCUUGCACACAUGCUAUAGAUAUAACCCUCCCUCCCUCUCGUAACCAUUUACAACUGUUUUCACUAACCUUUAUCACAAGCACUCUUCCUCUCGCAAACAUACAUACGCACAAUCCUCAUCGACCCUUUCUAUAUACAUGGACCUGCCUACGUGUCUCAUGUACACACAUUAUCUUUACGCCUGUCUCUCACGCAUUAUCUCACACCUCUCUUCCUAGUCGUCGAGUAUGAUUCUAGCAGAGCAUUCUAUAGGAUGCCCCUUAAAGUUAGGUUGGAUGAAUAGUAAUAUCAGAGAUAAAGGGGUUACCUUAGUCUGAGACCUAGGGUUACAAAUCCUAGCUGGCUUUGUCAGUGGACACAGAGUCCUUCACAAUUUUGCUAUCUUUGUCUUGUACGACUAGUCAUCCAUGGGUCUUCCUAAAUGUGUCAUGGGCCGACCAAUGUGGCGCAGGACGGAACCGAACGAAGGGCCUCACCUCGACCCACCGGACCUCACGCGGUGACACACCCUCUGCCCCCAUGUCUCAUUAUCUUCUCACACCCACACAUACCAACACAAACACCACACACACAGAAAAUUCCUCCUGGUGCCUCUAUUCCCCCCCUUGCAUAUAAACACUCAAUGGAAUGGAAUCUCUUGUCAUGACGUCAUAUUCGUCUCUCUCUCUCUCUCUAGACCACACUCAUUUCUCGUGCUAUCUCUCCCACGCCCCCCCGUCGGCCCCUCUAUCCAUGCCUCUCUAGAAUACGUAAUACACACACAUACCUCUCUAGGCCCCGCCAAAUGCAUCAACUACACAUUCACACAUGUUACAUCACGUACCCCAUUGAUCUAAAAAGCCCUCUCUUCAUGUUUAUUUCGCAUACAACAUUCCUUUUGAAUAAAGUGUGGCCAAAAAAUUAUUUUAGAGUUUCUACAUAUAUACAACAUUACAAAGUUAUAUGGAGGAGUACGAACACUAAUUUGCAUUGCAUGGUGCCCACAAUGAUAUUUAUUGUCAGGACCCCGACUCAAUGCCACAUCGAUCUAGCAUGUAACACCUCAUAUCACUUUGCGGCCUCACGCACGGUAUUCCCACGGGUGUCGCCUUACCUUAGCCCGGGACCGUUUGCGCCUUUUGGCACACGUAUAUGACAGUGUCGCUAGCAUCCAUGUGAUAAGGAGCCCGGGCUGACAUGGCUAGUCGUAAAUCCAAAGUGGCACAGACUUACAGGGACAAGCAUCCAUGACCCAGCAUCGAACGUGUCGGUCAUCAGCGAGUGAAUCCAGGCUGUAGCACUGGGCUAGCAGGACUCCGGUGAACCGGGCUAUAGCAGGCUAACAGGACUCCGGUAUUCAUCGCGUGACAUUUCCCCGAAGGGACAGACACAAGAACGAAGAAGGACACAUGCCGGCCAGCCUAAGUGUUCCGGAGCAGUAGCAAGCUACCAUGGCUCGGUGGAAACACUAGGAGACAUUUCCCCAUAAGAGAGGCUACUAAAGACAAACAACUAGAUGGUCAGAUCCCACACAUACCAAGCAUUUCAAUAACAUACACACAAUAUGCUCGAUAUGUGCAAAUACAACAUGGCAUCACAACAUGACUCUAUGACUCAAGUAUUUAUCAAUAGGCUCCGAGGAGCGAGAUAUUACAAACAGGGGUCUCACGACCCAACAUUCAGAGCAUACAAAUCAAAGCACAAGCGGAAGCUAUCAUGUCUGAGUACAGACAUCUAUAAAUGAAAAAGGCAUGAGAAGCCUGACUAUCUACCAAAUCCUGCCGAGGCACAAGAUCGUAGCUGAGGUAACAAGCUAAACGUCGAAGACCACGCGGAAAUACUGGUGAGACUGAAGUCUCUCUGCAAAACAUAAAAUAGGCAAACGUGAGUACAAAUGUACCCAGCAAGACUUACAUCAGAACUAUCUACAUAUGCAUCAUUAUCAACAAAGGGAUGGUGGGGUUUAACUGCAGCAAGCCAGCUUUGACUCGGUGGCUAUCCUAAACUACGACUGCAAGCGACUCUUUUGAGGUGGCGCACACGAGUCCACAUAUUCACCAUAUCAAUACACCACUAUGGAUCCGCUCUCGUCUCCCUACGAGAACGCCAUCCAUAGCACUCACGCUUAUCUUGCGUAUUUUAGGGUAUCCACUUUCACUUGUCUAUGAACUGAUAUAAGCAACCCAGAAGUCCUUUACCGCGGACACGGCUAUUCGAAUAGAUGUUGUUGACCCUGCAGGGGUGUACUUCUUCACACACACUCUCACCACUUACCGCCGUUUACACAACAUGUACUCGGCAACCUUCAAGCGGAAGCCCAACGUGGGUGUCGGCCACGGCCUACCUAAACACUCAAGUCUCUAGUCCAGGUUUAUCGCCUAUUCGGGUUCCAUCCAUGAGGAGAUCCGGCCGGAGUUUCGCUCACAGCCCCAAACGAUGUGAACAGGGUUCCCGAGACACCAAACGGGCGCCCGGUACACCGUGCCACGUGCCUACCGCAUCACAGCCCACCCCUACGAUCAGCGCUGCCCACGGCCUCCAGCAUACUACAACACCAGAAACUACUUGCAACUCCUGGACAGAGGACAAGGGUGAUCAAGAAGCCGAGAGGGUCCAUUGGUUUCGGGCCCAAUGCGUGGUAGUAGCUGAAUCAUGGAUCACAAACACAGAACUCAGUUCCUGAGGACGGCUGCAAUGAGACAACCUACCAUGUACUCCUACAUGGCCUCUCACCGCUACCUUUACCAAAUCGUGUUCACACACUUAGCUCACACACAGUAGGACAUGUUCACACGCCUCUGAUUCAUUCCCGAUGAAUCAGACCUGACUCAACUCUAAGCAGUAGCAGGCAUGACAAACAAGCAAGAAUGAGUAGGCACAACAGGGCUCAAAUAACUCCUACUCAUGCUAGUGGGUUUCAUCUAUUUACUGUGGCAAUGACAGGUCAUGCAAAGGAUAAAGGGGUUCAGCUACCGCAGCAAAUAACAGAUGAAUCGUUGUUGUCCUAAUGCAGUAAAAGAGAGCAGGAGCGAGAGAGUGGGAUUGUAUCGGAAUGAACAAGGGGGUUUUGCUUGCCUGGCACUUCUGAAGAUAACAUUGAGUCUUCAUCAGUGUCAACGAUCACAACGUCGGAACAUCGUCUACCGGGAGGGAACAGAUACCGGCAACAAGGAAGAAAUACAAUCAAUGCAAUGCACAAUAUGAUGCAUGAUCAUGACAUGGCAAAAUGAAGGUGUUUGAGCUAAUGCAACUAAAACCAGAUUAAAUGAAGUUGGUUUGAAUCCAAGAUUCAAAUUCAAACUCCAUAUGUGGAUAUUUAAAUGCCCUUUAUAUGAUUGUGCUAAACAGCAGCUAUAAGUUGUUCUAACAUGCAUGAAAAUGGUACAGAUGGAUUCCUUGAAUUUUUCUGAUAAUUUUUCAUAUAUAAAUUAUUUAAUUUGGAGUUACGGUUGAAUUUCUAUGAAUUUUAGAAGUUUAUACAAUUUUCUGGAAUUUUCUGAAUAUUAAAAAAAUCCAAAAAAUGAUUUAACUGCGUCAGCCUGACGCCAGCAUGACGUCAGCGAGUCAACGACCGGUCCAGGUCAAAUCUGACAAUGCGGGGUCCACACAUCAGCGACACAGAGGCUAAUCCCGCGUUGACUCGGCUUUGACCCGCUACGGGGCCCGCUGUCAGUGUCUGUUAGGGUGCUAGUUAGGGGGGGAUUAGCUGCUAAUGGCAACGCCACGUCAGAUACGCCGGCGAUGAGUCGCCGGUGACCACAGUACACGGCGGCGAGCUUCGGAAAUCGCCGUUCGGCGACGAUUUGGUGCGCGACUAGGCUCUACGGAGAGCUUGGAGUGCUCCGCGUCCAGCGGUGCGGGUGGUUGAGCGUGCGGUGGCCGGGAACGACGCCGGCGAGCGUUUGGGCGGCGGCCGGCGUUCGGAUGAGUUGCGGGUUUGGGGUUGCAGCGCGCAAACGAACCAACUAACGCGCUAGCCAUGCUCUGUGUGCAGCCUCGAGUUUGUUGGACGCUGGUGCGUGACCAGAUGGUCACCGGAGUGACGCCGGCGUCGAGCUCGUGCGGCGGUGGGUUUCGGCUUUGAUGGAAUCAGCGGCCAGAGGGAGCAAAAGAGAACGGGGGUAGGGGGGAACGAUGGCGGGGCUUACAGGGGGUCGAUUGAAGGGCCCAGCGGCUCGGGGGAGACGUCGGAGGUGGCGGGCGGGCGCCGGCGAUCUCGGGCGGCCGGAGAUGGGGAAGACGGCGUGGGCGGCGAUGCAGGGCUCCCGGCGUUGCGUAGCUCCAUGGAGAGGUCGGGGGCGUCGAGGCGGAGCCUUUGGUCACUCUGGUGGGGUGGAACGACGAUGGUGGCUACGACUGCGACGAGCGGCGGCGACGGCGGUUCUCGGUCGCGCGAGUGAGAGAGCCAGAGAAGAGAGAAGAAGGAACGGGGAGAGUGAGAACGGUCCAGGGGGGUGCGUGGCAUCCUCAGGCGACGGGGAGACAGGCAGAGAGGCAGGAGGUGGCCUGGGCGUGUGCCUGCGUGCUCCGGCCACGCGCCUGCGCCUACUGGCGCGAGGAGGAAGGCGACAGAGGAGGGGUUGGAGAUGGGCUGGGCCGGCUGGGCCGGUUGGUGGCGCCAGGUAGGCUCAGGUAAGUUUCUGUUAUUUUUUUAUUUUUUUCUUCUGUUUUUCUUUUAUUUAAUUCUUUUGCCACUGUUUUGAAAUAAAACAAAUUCAAAGACAGUGACAAAAUUCCCCUGAACAUUUUAUUUAGCACAAUGGGAUUAUACCAAAGCACAUAAAAAUGUUUCAGUUAUUUGAACAUAUAUUCAGUAAUAUUUGGAUAUAAGUUCAAAUUCAAAAUAGUAUUGAUUUAAAUUCAAAGUCCCAAAAUAAAUCCUUUUAAAAUGUUCAUUAAUUUUGGUUUGGAUCAAAACCCUUGCCAAAAAUAUUAAACAUCUAAGAAGAGCAUUUUGGAACAAUGGAUGAGAUUUUAGGGUUUUUUUUGCCCUUCUUUUAUUUAGGGUUUUGAGGCUUCUGAAUUCCUCAAUUCAAAUUUCAUUUGAAUUAAAACAUGAUGCUCACAUGAGGUCUAGCCUAGUGCAUAACAGGACCAGGGAUGUGACAACUCACCCCCACUAAACAAAAAUCUCGUCCCGAGAUUCAAGCGUAGGGUAAGGUGAAGGGGAAACGCAACUAGUAUAAUCUUCACGAUCCAGGGUGCACUUCAUAAUGAACGUUGAUUCAAUCACCAUUAUUGUCUUGAAGUCUUGCCUUGAGAACUCCAACUAUCAUGACAACGAGAGGAAAGGAAAGACCCUAAAGAAUUGUUCUUCUCGAAGGUCGAACAACUCAGGAUUAACCCACGGAAUGAGACAUAACAACAUCUCUCGAGCUGAGACACGAAGCACACCUCUAGAGGGAUGGAGUGGAACAGAUGACGAGGGUUCACUAGGUAGACAACAAUUUCACGCUUAAGAAGGUGGUAACCGAUUGUCAACGUAGCGAGGAGUUGAGUUGCCAUGAUACCACGACGAAACAUCCUGAAGGAGGGUGAUUCGUAGAUUAUUUCCUUAAGUGGCGAAAAGAAUUACCUUUGAUUCAGAGAUCAUUGAAGACCUUUAUACCAGCCUAAGGCAAUUCUCAAGCGAUCGUUUGGAGGGGGUCGGUAGAAUGGCAUACUCAGACUUGGAUGAUGUGUAUUACCUUGUUGAAGACAACGUAAUGGAUGAUUUUGCUUACCACUGGAAAUGGAAGAGACCCAUGGUAGAAUGGCACAAUGGCGGUGCAAGCUGGGAACAGAAUGCAAAUGCUGGGAAUGAUUCUGGUAACUGGGGAAGAACCCAACAAUAGAGAGUGAAUUCACUGUUUGAAAGGUCAUAGCAUUGCCGAGGAAACUGAGAGCAAACCCAGUUAGUGCCGAUGAUAACACGUAGCGCUUGUGCGUGCUCUCAAGAACUUGAGCAUUUCCAUAAUCAUCAAGGUUUUACCAACAUCCGUGUCAAGGAUCCUGGCAACACAACUUGCUACCAUGAUGAAUGAUGAUGGAUGAUGCAGAUGCAAAGGAAGAUAACACUUCUCAGAUUUCACCCUUGGCGGGGCCAGGGAACAAAAUCUGGAUGAUCGACCGAGAGACAUUUAGCACUCCACUUCUAAUGUUCUCCUUGAUGUGCUAGUGUAACCCAUUCAUAGAAAUGGUCUGGUAUCUAGAGCAUCAAGUAAAGGUCGGACUUCGGGAACACAAAAAUCCAUAGGGCAACUAGGGAGUAAAUCCUACGAAAUCCCUAUGGGGAGGUGGCCAACUUCAUCAAUCAAGAUAUUAUAAUAACAGGUCUUCCGGCUGGGUGUGUUGGCCACGACAUCCACUUUACCGGUUAUCGCGCGACCAAUAUUAUAAUUCUUGGGAAAUAUUCCAACCAUCAUAUCUGCCUGAGAUUCAGAUCUGGUUGGUGUCAGGAUAUUCCAGACUCAUCGAGUCUAGGAAGAAAAACGGAAGUUUGCAACACAAAUCGACGAGAUGACGUUGCGAGAUUCUCGGGGAAUGAACUACGAUAGCAAGCUCCAAAACAUGAGCUGGUUCUGCUACAAACAUGUGAACACGUUGUCCCAGACAAGCAUGCCCACAUGGUAGUCUUACAAUAAAACACUACCGAGUUCAGGAGGGGGAACCAUCAACGAGGGUAUCGAAGUCUUGUGCAUUACCAUGGAUUAACACUUAACUCCUUUUCUCGAACAAAUCAGUUAGUGGCUUGGGGUGCUACGGAACACAUAUAGAAUGGAGGUUGCAAGUCUCCGAACCACAGAAUACUUUCGCACGUAUGCAUGACUGAUUUGGGAUGAUUCCAAAGGAAACAACAUUGACUUUCUCGAAUCCACGGCGGCAACUUGCAUCAGAUGCACAUGAAUUAAAGGAAGUCACUACCUUCAUCCAAACAUAUGCUUCAUAAGCUAGCAUGAACAAAUGCUUCAAAAGUUUCCAACACUAACUUAAUGUUCAGCAAAAUCAUGGAGGAGAUAAGGAUGUUGUCAAUGGGCUCAACAACAAUUCAUCUGGGUUUCCUUUUAAAAGGAAUUCCAUAGUUAAGUGAUCACGGUGAUAGCAUUGGUCAGACCAAAGAUGUAAUGGUGUAUGCUCGAGGGAUCAACCACGAAUAAGACAACAUUACGAGCAUCGUUGGUACUGAUUUGAUUUGACGAUAGCCCACACUCAAAUCAAAGGAUUGAUAAGACAAUAGGUCCAACAACUGAUCAUAGAGACCAAUCGAUGAAGAUAUCUUCUUUCUUUAACACACACUACACAAGAAUAUCCCUUUGGAACGAACUAAGUUAGGCAAGCUUUUAUCUUCCAAUUCUCCAAGUUGUCGUUUAGCUUAACCAACUAACUCACGAAUAUCUAACACCGAUUCUUGGAGAGAAGGUGGUUCACAAGAAACCAACUUGAUCACGAGCUCAACAUAACAGUCAGGUGACAGCCUGGUGAUACUUUCGAGAAGAUAUUCGGAAAAUCACGAACCACCGAUAUGUUACUAAGCUCGAGAACAAUCUCGCUUUUGAGGGCAAGACGAUAUGAUCAAAUGAGUGAGGACUUGACAAGAUCCUAACUCAUCAAUCGAAGGGUGCACCGAAAUAAGGACUAGGUAGCACGAUCAGUCUUAGAAGGAUGAUUCAAAAACCAACACGCUAAGAAUGAAAUUAUUGUCCCUUAACUACCAAGCAACGAGGUUGCUGGGAGUAUUGAUUUCACACAUCACAAUUCAUUUGUCGGUAUUCCGGUUGCAUCAACACGAAGACCGAGGAAUGACUAAUGAUGGUGAGAAGUAUCACUACGUCAAAAUUCAUGAGAGUUGGUGCAGUUCUCAUGACAAUUCUGACAUAAGGGGGGGGGGUAAUACUCCAAGGUAGAACAGAAUCAAAAGCUGGGCUGGCAUUUUGAUCUGCGGAGUACAAUUGUUUUGACCCAAUCCUAGAUAUGGAUGAGGUACUGGAGUUUGUUUCUACAAGUCAUUCAGGACAGAAUGGCUUGACGGACCACAAGGGUAAUAGGCAUCGAUAAACGAAUGCAUGCAUACUCUUGACUAUCAAUUGAUAGACGAGGGUCAGAAUACAACUAAAGGGAACAACUCAAAGUAACAUAUAAUUUUCUGAGUUGUGGAUGCAUAGGUUAGUAUGUCGAACGAGUUCAACAUAUUUCUUCCGGACAAUCCAUGCGGAAAGGUAGAACUGGCAGAGUCACAAUUAUGAAUGGAGAACCCAUCAAGAGCACUCUGAUUGUGAUCUUUCGAUCAGCGAGGAACAUCUGCCAUAAGCGGUUCAUAGUAUUUGGAAGAAAGGAAUACCACGAACAUCGAGGACUAAUGCAAAGGUUACUAAUAACCUAAGGGAGCUAGCAAUUACUAUCAACAUGAAGUAAGUAGGGUGAAUCUCGGGUUCAAAACUCAGGAGUAGAAUACCUACUACUAAGUAGCAUCACGGGAUGCUUUCGAGAAUGAUGGCCAGAAUCAUCACACUGGGAACACAAAUCAUAGCUAAAUUACUAGAUGAUCCCCUAAGACACCUAGGGUCAUAAUAAUAUCUCCAACAUAUACGCCGAGGUAACAAAGUACCUCAACUCACUGAUUAGUGUGGUUAAUCUGGCCCAAAGGAACAUCGGAACGGGAGGAAGGAAUUUUGCAAAUGCUUCAAACUAUUUAGAAACCUGGGAUGACUCGGACAACAUAACGGCUGUAAAUGCUCAGAAAAGACUUGAGACAUUCACAAAAAUGGUGGCAUAACCACUCAGAAGCACAAUAUCAAGAUUUCGAGAUCAACAAUUAACAUACAGAAGUAGUAGGAACUGGACUCAAGCUUAAUCGAACAAUCUUAUAAGUAUACGGUCUAGUAAUACGUGAUCCUGAUAGAAAGAAGAGCAAGCCUAGUUUCUUAACCCCGUAGGAAGGAUAAGAUGACUCAGAUCAGAAGGGCAUGAGGUAUAAGGAGUAAAAAGAGCCUUACGUUCCAUCCCACAAUCAAUUCCCUUAUAUAACUAAAGAAUUUCUAGACUCAACUUCGACCAGUUUGGCUUGGUAACCUACAGGCAGUCAAGCUCUGAUACCAACGUUGUCAGGACCCCGACUCAAUGCCACAUCGAUCUAGCAUGUAACACCUCAUAUCACUUUGCGGCCUCACGCACGGUAUUCCCACGGGUGUCGCCUUACCUUAGCCCGGGACCGUUUGCGCCUUUUGGCACACGUAUAUGACAGUGUCGCUAGCAUCCAUGUGAUAAGGAGCCCGGGCUGACAUGGCUAGUCGUAAAUCCAAAGUGGCACAGACUUACAGGGACAGGCAUCCAUGACCCAGCAUCGAACGUGUCGGUCAUCAGCGAGUGAAUCCAGGCUGUAGCACUGGGCUAGCAGGACUCCGGUGAACCGGGCUGUAGCAGGCUAACAGGACUCCGGUAUUCAUCGCGUGACAUUUCCCCGAAGGGACAGACACAGGAACGAAGAAGGACACAUGCCGGCCAGCCUAAGUGUUCCGGAGCAGUAGCAAGCUACCAUGGCUCGGUGGAAACACUAGGAGACAUUUCCCCGUAAGAGAGGCUACUAAAGACAAACAACUAGAUGGUCAGAUCCCACACAUACCAAGCAUUUCAAUAACAUACACACAAUAUGCUCGAUAUGUGCAAAUACAACAUGGCAUCACAACAUGACUCUAUGACUCAAGUAUUUAUCAAUAGGCUCCGAGGAGCGAGAUAUUACAAACAGGGGUCUCACGACCCAACAUUCAGAGCAUACAAAUCAAAGCACAAGCGGAAGCUAUCAUGUCUGAGUACAGACAUCUAUAAAUGAAAAAGGCAUGAGAAGCCUGACUAUCUACCAAAUCCUGCCGAGGCACAAGAUCGUAGCUGAGGUAACAAGCUAAACGUCGAAGACCACGCGGAAAUACUGGUGAGACUGAAGUCUCUCUGCAAAACAUAAAAUAGGAAAACGUGAGUACAAAUGUACCCAGCAAGACUUACAUCAGAACUAUCUACAUAUGCAUCAUUAUCAACAAAGGGAUGGUGGGGUUUAACUGCAGCAAGCCAGCUUUGACUCGGUGGCUAUCCUAAACUACGACUGCAAGCGACUCUUUUGAGGUGGCGCACACGAGUCCACAUAUUCACCAUAUCAAUACACCACUAUGGAUCCGCUCUCGUCUCCCUACGAGAACGCCAUCCAUAGCACUCACGCUUAUCUUGCGUAUUUUAGGGUAUCCACUUUCACUUGUCUAUGAACUGAUAUAAGCAACCCAGAAGUCCUUUACCGCGGACACGGCUAUUCAAAUAGAUGAUGUUGACCCUGCAGGGGUGUACUUCUUCACACACGCUCUCACCACUUACCGCCGUUUACACAACAUGUACUCGGCAACCUUCAAGCGGAAGCCCAACGUGGGUGUCGGCCAUGGCCUACCUAAACACUCAAGUCUCUAGUCCAGGUUUAUCGCCUAUUCGGGUUCCAUCCAUGAGGAGAUCCGGCCGGAGUUUCGCUCACAGCCCCAAACGAUGUGAACAGGGUUCCCGAGACACCAAACGGGCGCCCGGUACACCGUGCCACGUGCCUACCGCAUCACAGCCCACCCCUACGGUCAGCGCUGCCCACGGCCUCCAGCAUACUACAACACCAGAAACUACUUGCAACUCCUGGACAGAGGACAAGGGUGAUCAAGAAGCCGAGAGGGUCCAUUGGUUUCGGGCCCAAUGCGUGGUAGUAGCUGAAUCAUGGAUCACAAACACAGAACUCAGUUCCUGAGGACGGCUGCAAUGAGACAACCCACCAUGUACUCCUACAUGGCCUCUCACCGCUACCUUUACCAAAUCGUGUUCACACACUUAGCUCACACACAGUAGGACAUGUUCACACGCCUCUGAUUCAUUCCCGAUGAAUCAGACCUAACUCAACUCUAAGCAGUAGCAGGCAUGACAAACAAGCAAGAAUGAGUAGGCACAACAGGGCUCAAACAACUCCUACUCAUGCUAGUGGGUUUCAUCUAUUUACUGUGGCAAUGACAGGUCAUGCAAAGGAUAAAGGGGUUCAGCUACCGCAGCAAAUAACAGAUGAAUCGUUGUUGUCCUAAUGCAGUAAAAGAGAGCAGGAGCGAGAGAGUGGGAUUGUAUCGGAAUGAACAAGGGGGUUUUGCUUGCCUGGCACUUCUGAAGAUAACAUUGAGUCUUCAUCAGUGUCAAUGAUCACAACGUCGGAACAUCGUCUACCGGGAGGGAACAGAUACCGGCAACAAGGAAGAAAUACAAUCAAUGCAAUGCACAAUAUGAUGCAUGAUCAUGACAUGGCAAAAUGAAGGUGUUUGAGCUAAUGCAACUAAAACCAGAUUAAAUGAAGUUGGUUUGAAUCCAAGAUUCAAAUUCAAACUCCAUAUGUGGAUAUUUAAAUGCCCUUUAUAUGAUUGUGCUAAACAGCAGCUAUAAGUUGUUCUAACAUGCAUGAAAAUGGUACAGAUGGAUUCCUUGAAUUUUUCUGAUAAUUUUUCAUAUAUAAAUUAUUUAAUUUGGAGUUACGGUUGAAUUUCUAUGAAUUUUAGAAGUUUAUACAAUUUUCUGGAAUUUUCUGAAUAUUAAAAAAAUCCAGAAAAUGAUUUAACUGCGUCAGCCUGACGCCAGCAUGACGUCAGCGAGUCAACGACCGGUCCAGGUCAAAUCUGACAAUGCGGGGUCCACACGUCAGCGACACAGAGGCUAAUCCCGCGUUGACUCGGCUUUGACCCGCUACGGGGCCCGCUGUCAGUGUCUGUUAGGGUGCUAGUUAGGGGGGGAUUAGCUGCUAAUGGCAACGCCACGUCAGAUACGCCGGCGACGAGUCGCCGGUGACCACAGUACACGGCGGCGAGCUUCGGAAAUCGCCGUUCGGCGACGAUUUGGUGCGCGACUAGGCUCUACGGAGAGCUUGGAGUGCUCCGCGUCCAGCGGUGCGGGUGGUUGAGCGUGCGGUGGCCGGGAACGACGCCGGCGAGCGUUUGGGCGGCGGCCGGCGUUCGGAUGAGUUGCGGGUUUGGGGUUGCAGCGCGCAAACGAACCAACUAACGCGCUAGCCAUGCUCUGUGUGCAGCCUCGAGUUCGUUGGACGCUGGUGCGCGACCAGAUGGUCACCGGAGUGACGCCGGCGUCGAGCUCGUGCGGCGGUGGGUUUCGGCCUUGAUGGAAUCAGCGGCCAGAGCGAGCAAAAGAGAACGGGGGUAGGGGGGAACGAUGGCGGGGCUUACAGGGGGUCGAUUGAAGGGCCCGGCGGCUCGGGGGAGACGUCGGAGGUGGCGGGCGGGCGCCGGCGAUCUCGGGCGGCCGGAGAUGGGGAAGACGGCGUGGGCGGCGAUGCAGGGCUCCCGGCGUUGCGUAGCUCCAUGGAGAGGUUGGGGGCGUCGAGGCGGAGCCUUUGGUCACUCUGGUGGGGUGGAACGACGGUGGUGGCUACGACUGCGACGAGCGGCGGCGACGGCGGUUCUCGGUCGCGCGAGUGAGAGAGCCAGAGAAGAGAGAAGAAGGAACGGGGAGAGUGAGAACGGUCCAGGGGGGUGCGUGGCAUCCUCAGGCGACGGGGAGACAGGCAGAGAGGCAGGAGGUGGCCUGGGCGUGUGCCUGCGCGCUCCGGCCACGCGCCUGCGCCUACUGGCGCGAGGAGGAAGGCGACAGAGGAGGGGGUGGAGAUGGGCUGGGCCGGCUGGGCCGGUUGGUGGCGCCAGGUAGGCUCAGGUAAGUUUCUGUUCUUUUUUUAUUUUUUUUCUUCUGUUUUUCUUUUAUUUAAUUUUUUGCCACUGUUUUGAAAUAAAACAAAUUCAAAGACAGUGACAAAAUUCCCCUGAACAUUUUAUUUAGCACAAUGGGAUUAUACCAAAGCACAUAAAAAUGUUUCAGUUAUUUGAACAUAUAUUCAGUAAUAUUUGGAUAUAAGUUCAAAUUCAAAAUAGUAUUGAUUUAAAUUCAAAGUCCCAAAAUAAAUCCUUUUAAAAUGUUCAUUAAUUUUGGUUUGGAUCAAAACCCUUGCCAAAAAUAUUAAACAUCUAAGAAGAGCAUUUUGGAAUAAUGGAUGAGAUUUUAGGGUUUUUUUUGCCCUUCUUUUAUUUAGGGUUUUGAGGCUUCUGAAUUCCUCAAUUCAAAUUUCAUUUGAAUUAAAACAUGAUGCUCACAUGAGGUCUAGCCUAGUGCAUAACAGGACCAAGGAUGUGACAUUUAUUCCGCACUGUGAAUUUGUAUAUUUUUAUACUAUAUACAAAGUU